CCCUUUCCCUCGGUUUCCUUGCUUAAGAAGGACAGGUGGGAGAAGGGCAGAGAGAGAGAGAGAGAGAGAGAGAGAGAGGAGACUCACUUGAGGCUGAGGCCGUCGCCAUUGAUGGAGCUCGUCCCCUACGCGUCCAACCGUAACCCGAACGUCCCCUGGUCCGAGAUGUUCCGCGCCGCCUCCCUCCGCCGCCCGCCGGACUCGCUUCCCCCCUCCCGCCCAUCUUCACCUCCUCAUCCCCGUCGUCGCCAGGAGGCACCGCCGCCUCCGUCCCCCGAGGCGGCCUCAGUCGAGUCCUCCCACGACGCCGCCCGCCUCGCUCUCUACAUCGCCAUGGCGCACGCCGGCCUCGCCCUCACCCUCCUCCUCCUUUACGGCCUCUACCGCCUCCUCCACGACUUCGUCCGACCCCUCCAGUGGGCGCUCCUCUGCUCCAUCCCCCUCCACGAGCUCCAGCGCGCCCUCGUCGACUUCUGGUCCCCGCCUCUCCACCUGGGCCUCGCCCCCGCCUUCCUUGCCGUCCCCGCUGCCCUCGUCCGCGCCUCCGCCGACACCCUCGCCGACCUCCGCACCGCCAUCCUCCGCCGAAAGCUCCGGUCCUCCCGCAAGGUCGGCUUUUCCCGCCUCAUCCGCUGGCUCGUCUCCUUCUGGGUCUUCAUCAUCUCUCACGAGCAGCUCGGCCCCGCUGCCACCGUCGCACUAUUCGCCCUCGGUCUCCUCCUGGCCAGCCCCACCGCGACCUCCGCCGUAAAAAAUGCCAGCUUCGUUCGCGGUCGGUCCUCCACACGCCCCUCCGAGCGGGGCGGUGGCGGAUUCUUCACCAAACGCAUCCUCAAGCACCUGAAUACCAUAAUCGCCGUCAGCUUAAUCGUCUGGAUGAUUAUCGGGGCCUUGGCCGGAGGCAUCUUCUUCUCCUACAAGAUCGGAGUGGAAGGGAAGGAUGCGGUGAUAUCGCUGAAAUCCCACGUCCAGAAGAGCAAUUACGCCGAGAGGAUCGGAUUCAAGAAGUGGUUGGACGACAACGAUAUCCCCGGCCUGGUGGAUCAAUACUCGGCCAACCUCUACGAUACUGUCUGGCAGCAGAUCGAUAGCUUGGCGGUCGAAUACAAUCUUACAGAUUUUGCCAAUGGUUUCCGGCAAUUCUUGAUCAGUCGAUCCAGGAACCCCUCGGGAGGCGCUUCCACCUCUUUGAUGGCCUCGGCUCAGCAUCCUUACAGCGUAAAGCUCCAAUCUUUGAGCAUCCACUUCAAGAAUCACGAUUGGGCAGAGAUCUACAAGGAAUUGGACUCGUUCUUCAGGGAAUUGCUGAUCACCAGAGAGGAUCUGGUGGUGACAGCGAAAGGGCUUGCUUUCCGAGGGAUGGAAAUCUCAAAGCGGGUUCUUUCAAGUAGUACUUCGGUCAUCGGUGGCAGUGCUAGUUUAAUGGUAUCCAUUGCCUUGAAGUUGGCCUCGGGUGCAGCCGAAGUAUUGAAUUUUGUUUCCCAGUUGACGGUUUUCCUGUGGGUGUUGUAUUAUCUCAUCACCUCGGAGUCAGGCGGGGUGACAGAGCAGGUCAUGGAUAUGCUGCCCAUGUCAAAAUGGGCAAGAGUACGUUGUGUCGAGGUUAUCAACCAUGCCAUCAGCAGUGUGUUCUUGGCCACAGCGAAGAUUGCAAUCUUCCAAGGUUCUCUAACAUGGCUGCUAUUCAGGUUCUGCUCCGUUCAUUUCGUGUAUACCUCGACUCUCCUUGCUUUUAUUAGCUCGUUGGUGCCUAUACUCCCACUUUGGCUGUCAACGAUCCCUGCUGUGGUUCAGUUGUUCAUGGAAGGCAAAUUUGUAUGGGCGGUUGUGGUCACGGUGAUUCACCUUAUGAUGAUGGAUUAUGGUACUACGGUGCUUCAGGAGGAUAUACCUGGGCAUAAUGCAUAUCUAACUGGCCUUAGCAUCAUUGGUGGCAUGACAUUGUUCCCUAAUGCUUUGGAGGGAGCCAUAAUGGGUCCGCUAAUUAUGACGGUUGUCAUUGCUUUGAAGAACUUGUAUGUGGAGUUUGUUCUUGCUGAUAAAGAGGAAAGUGGCAGAGAAUCUGUGGUUACUGAUAAAGAGAAUAGCAGCAGCUAGUUCUUAUUAAGAGCAUACCUUCAUAUAAGUAAGAUUAUGCAGACUGUUUAGCAUCAUUUCAGGAGCAUGUCAGAGAUUUCUAGUCACUGGACCGAUGUGACUUCUUCCAGGACCAACAUGAUAUGAUCUACAUGAUCUCUCAUGCAUAAAGGGAGGAUGUGGUUAGAUGGUCAUGCUUUUGGUUGUGGUUGGAAGGAUCAUCAGGUGUGUGUGCUCCUGGUCCUCGUUAAUUCGUGGAAACGAAGAACACUAGCAAUCAAGGAGAUGUCAGCUUCGACAUGCACAUCAUCUUUGAUCUCACUGAGCUAAUUAUGAUGUGCAGGAUUACCUUUUUCAAUCACAUUUGAUAUUAUCCGGAAGCAUAUACCACUUUCUAAUAAUCAUCUAUAACAUUUUGCAGGUCUCAUAAUAGCACGAGGACUUGCGACUUCUCAGCUUGAAGAAGACAAUGAGAUUUAUGUAGAGGUUUGGAUGCCAAUGCCCCUUUUUAAGUUGACCUGUGGGCAUGGAGAUGCUUAUGUUUGUGGGUACUGCAAUGCUCGUCCAAGAUACUGAUGCACUGUUGCCUUGUCUCGACGCGGAGAUGCUCGAGUUCUCCAAGCUGGUUUGACGAUACGAAAGAUAGCUUUCUAUGAGAGAGAGGAGGAUAUGACCACUAAGUAUUUAAGUGCUCUCUGUCCACCAAUUUGUCGACCGUAAUUUUUCAUAUUAUCCAUCUUUAUAGUCAAUUAUUUUUA